rnacentral:rRNA from 1 species
GAUGAACGCUGGCGGCGUGCCUAAUACAUGCAAGUCGAGCGAACGGACGAGAAGCUUGCUUCUCUGAUGUUAGCGGCGGACGGGUGAGUAACACGUGGAUAACCUACCUAUAAGACUGGGAUAACUUCGGGAAACCGGAGCUAAUACCGGAUGAUAUUUUGAACCGCGUGGUUCAAAAGUGAAAGACGGUCUUGCUGUCACUUAUAGAUGGAUCCGCGCUGCAUUAGCUAGUUGGUAAGGUAACGGCUUACCAAGGCAACGAUGCAUAGCCGACCUGAGAGGGUGAUCGGCCACACUGGAACUGAGACACGGUCCAGACUCCUACGGGAGGCAGCAGUAGGGAAUCUUCCGCAAAGGGCGAAAGCCUGACGGAGCAACGCCGCGUGAGUGAUGAAGGUCUUCGGAUCGUAAAACUCUGUUAUUAGGGAAGAACAUAUGUGUAAGUAACUGUGCACAUCUUGACGGUACCUAAUCAGAAAGCCACGGCUAACUACGUG